CUUUUACUGUGCGCUCGGAGAGUCUCUAAUUCAGGAUUAGUUCUUCGAAAAGAGGAGGCCUGGUCACUUGUCUGUUUGCUGUGGGGUGAUGCCAGAAAAACUCCUAAAAUUGGAAGCAGGAUAAUGCAUCAGCAGCCGCAUUUUGGACACCGGGAACAUGCGUGCAAGAAUUAAAAAACUUAUGAGUAGCUGCUAGCCAGGUCAGCCUCCUCACCAGUUUCAUAAUGAUCAAAGAUUGGGAGCGACCCUUGUUGAGAAUGUGACAAGCUGCCUGGUUAUCGAGAUAACACCUG